rnacentral:rRNA from 1 species
AUUGAACGCUGGCGGCAGGCCUAACACAUGCAAGUCGAACGAGUGGCGGACGGGUGAGUAAUGUCUGGGAAACUGCCCGAUGGAGGGGGAUAACUACUGGAAAAGGUAGCUAAUACCGCAUACCAUCGGAUGUGCCCAGAUGGGAGUAGCUAGUAGGUGGGGUAACGGCUCACCUAGGCGACGAUCCCUAGCUGGGCUGAGAGGAUGACCGACCACACUGGAACUGAGCCCCGGUCCAGCCUCCUACGGGAGGCAGCAGUGGGGAAUAUUGCACAAGGGGCGCAAGCCUGAUGCAGCCAUGCCGCGUGUAUGAAGAAGGCCUUCGGGUUGUAAAGUACUUUCAGCGGGGAGGCGUUACCCGCAGAAUAAGCACCGGCUAACUCCGUGCCAGCAGCCGCGGUAAUUC